GUUCUGCAGGGCACGUGCGUA
rnacentral:snRNA from 1 species